rnacentral:rRNA from 1 species
UGGGGAAUAUUGCACAAUGGAGGGAACUCUGAUGCAGCGACGCCGCGUGAACGAAGAAGGCUUUCGAGUCGUAAAGUUCUUUUAUAUGGGAAGAUAAUGACGGUACCAUAAGAAAAAGCCCCGGCCAACUACGUGCCAGCAGCCGCGGUAAUACGUAGGGGGCUAGCGUUGUCCGGAAUCACUGGGCGUAAAGGGUUCGCAGGCGGAAAUGCAAGUCAGGUGUAAAAGGCAGUAGCUUAACUACUGUAAGCAUUUGAAACUGCAUAUCUUGAGAAGAGUAGAGGUAAGUGGAAUUUUUAGUGUAGCGGUGAAAUGCGUAGAUAUUAAAAAGAAUACCGGUGGCGAAGUCGACUUACUGGGCUCAUUCUGACGCUGAGGAACGAAAGCGUGGGUAGCAAACAGG